AAAAGCUCGUAGUUGGAUCUCAGCUCCGGCCGGACGGUCCGCCUACCGGUGGUUACUGUUCGCAGCCGAGCGUUCAGGCGGUUAUUCUUGAUGAUCUUCACCGGUUGUCUCGGGUGACCGCCAAGUUUACUUUGAAAAAAUUAGAGUGCUCAAAGCAGGCGCGACGCCUGAAUAAUUGUGCAUGGAAUAAUGGAAUAGGACCUCGGUUCUAUUUUGUUGGUUUUCGGAACACGAGGUAAUGAUUAAGAGGGACAGACGGGGGCAUUCGUAUUGCGACGCUAGAGGUGAAAUUCUUGGACCGUCGCAAGACGAACUACUGCGAAAGCAUUUGCCAAGAAUGUUUCCAUUAAUCAAGAACGAAAGUUAGAGGUUCGAAAGCGAUCAGAUACCGCCCUAGUUCUAACCAUAAACGAUGCCAGCCAGCGAUCCGGCUGUGUUCCUCAAAUGACACGCCGGGCAGCUUACGGGAAACCAAAGCUUUUGGGUUCCGGGGGAAGUAUGGUUGCAAAGCUGAAACUUAAAGGAAUUGACGGAAGGGCACCACCAGGAAUGGAGCCUGCGGCUUAAUUUGACUCAACACGGGAAAACUUACCCGGCCCGGACACAGGAAGGAUUGACAGAUUAAGAGCUCUUUCUUGAUUCUGUGGGUGGUGGUGCAUGGCCGUUCUUAGUUGGUGGGGCGACUUGUCUGGUUAAUUCCGAUAACGAACGAGACUCUAGCCUACUAAAUAGACGUUCCCAUCCUCUUCAGUGGGACGUUCUUCUUAGAGGGACAAGCGGCGUUUAGCCGCACGAGACAGAGCAAUAACAGGUCUGGGAUGCCCUUAGAUGUCCGGGGCCGCACGCGCGCUACAUUGAAGGAAUCAGCGUGUGCUUUCCCUGUCCGAAAGGACUGGGUAACCCGUUGAACCUCCUUCGUGCUGGGGAUUGGCCGAUGUAAUUGAGGCCAUGAACGAGGAAUUCCCAGUAAGCACGAGUCAUCAGCUCGUGUUGAUUACGUCCCUGCCCUUUGUGCACACCGCCCGUCGCUACUACCGAUUGAAUGAUUUAGUGAGGUCUUCGGACUGGCGCUCGGAUUGGCCUUCGCGGUCGAGCCGGCGUGCCGGAAAGAUGACCGAACUUGAUCAUUUAGAGGAAGUAAAAGUCGUAACAAGGUUUU
rnacentral:rRNA from 1 species